rnacentral:rRNA from 1 species
GAUGAACGCUGGCGGCGUGCCUAAUACAUGCAAGUCGAACGAGGUGCUUUUGUAACAAUACGAGAGUAUCCUAGUGGCGAACGGGUGAGUAACGCGUUGGUGACCUACCCCAAAGUGUGGGAUAACAGUCCGAAAGGAUUGCUAAUACCGCAUGUGGUCAUUGGAUUUAGAAACUGAUGACUAAAGGAGCAAUUCGCUUUGGGAGGGACCUGCGUCCCAUCAGCUAGUUGGUGAGGUAAUGGCUCACCAAGGCGACGACGGGUAGGGGACCUGAGAGGGUGGCCCCCCACAAUGGAACUGAAACACGGUCCAUACACCUACGGGUGGCAGCAGUAGGGAAUAUUGCUCAAUGGGCGAAAGCCUGAAGCAGCAACGCCGCGUGCGUGAUGAAGGUCUUCGGAUCGUAAAGCGCUUUUCUGGGAGAUGAGAAAGGACAGUAUCCCAGGAAUAAGUCUCGGCUAACUACGUGCCAGCCGCCGCAGUAACAC